ACACCCGUGAGAAUGCCCUUGAAGCUCUUUUGAGAUCAAGGAGCCGGUAUCAGGCACACAUUAUGUCGCCCAUUACACCUUGCUUAGCCACACCCCCAAGGGAAUUCAGCAGUGAUUAACAUUAAGCAAUAAGUGAAAACUUGACUCAGUUAAAGCUAAUUAGGGUCGGUAAAAUUCGUGCCAGCCACCGCGGUUAUACGAAAGACCCAAGCUGACAGGAGCCGGCGUAAAGAGUGGUUAGGCAUAAAAACAACUAAGGUUGAACAUCUUCUUGGCCGUUUAACGCAUUUGAAGACAAGAAACACCAUCACGAAAGUAACCUUAAAUAUCUGACUCCACGAAAGCUAUGGAACAAACUGGGAUUAGAUACCCCACUAUGCAUAGCCGUAAACAUAGAUACCACCAUACACCUACCAUCCGCCUGGGUACUAUAAGCAUAAGCUCGAAACCCAAAGGACCUGGCGGUGCUUUAAAACCACCUAGAGGAGCCUGUUCUAGAACUGAUAAUCCCCACUCAACCUCACCCUUCCUUGCCAAUACCGCCUAUAUACCGCCGUCGUCAGCUUACCCUAUGAAGGCACAACAGUGAGCAAAAUCGGUACAACCUAAAACGUCAGGUCGAGGUGUAGUGAAUGGAAGGGGAAGAAAUGGGCUACAUUUGUUUAUUAACACACUACGGAUUACAUGUUGAAAUACAUUUUUGAAGGAGGAUUUAGCAGUAAGGAGAAAAUAGAAUAUUCCCCUGAAACCGGCUCUAAAGCACGCACACACCGCCCGUCACUCUCCCCUCGCAUACAAACAAACUAAAUAAACAAACAACCAGCUAAAGGGGAGGCAAGUCGUAACAAGGUAAGUGUACCGGAAGGUGCACUUGGAAAAAC
rnacentral:ncRNA from 1 species